rnacentral:rRNA from 1 species
GCCAGCCGUAAUAUUACUCACACUCNNNACCGCCAGGGAAUUACGAGCCCAAGCUUAAAACCCAAAGGACUUGACGGUGUCCCNCCCACCUAGAGGAGCCUGUUCUAUAAUCGAUUCUCCCCGAUAAACCUCACCACUUCUAGCCAACUCAGCCUGUAUACCUCCGUCGUAAGCUUACCAUAUGAACGCUAAUUAGUGAGCUUAAAGAUCUUUACAUCAACACGUCNGGUCANGGUGCAGCUCACGAAGNGGGAAGUAAUGGGCUACAAUUUCUAACUUAGAACACACGAAAGACUACAUGAAACACAGUCAUGANGGCGGAUUUAGCAGUAAAAAGAAAAUAGAGAGUUCUUUUUAAUUAGGCGCUGGGACGCGU